AUAGACAAUUUAAUAAAAAUUUCAGGUAGUUUGAGGGUUUAAAAUUCUUUUUUUACAAAUUUAAGGGCCAAUAUAAUUUUUUUCAAAACUUUUUAGAGCCCUCGGGCCUGAGGCGAAUGUUUCAUCAGUCCAAGCCUUGCUUGGAGGUUCUGUAUUUUAAACUAUUUCCUAAAAUUUUGUAGAAUAAUCCCAAUGUCUUACUCGGAUGUAUCCAGAUCCGGCUCUGGUUCUGUUCUUGUGUCUCCUAGCAUGGUUUUUGAUAUAUUGUACUUGUUUUUGUUAGAGAAUAUGAUUGGGAAAGGAGGACAUGCGGAGGUGUACAAAGGAGUUUUACCUGACGGAGAGACGGUGGCGAUCAAGAAGCUGAUGAGACACGCCAUGGAAGAAGAAGAAAGAGUCAGCGACUUCUUAUCCGAGUUAGGGAUGAUCGCACACGUUAACCACCCAAACGCAGCUAGGCUUCGCGGUUUCAGUAGCGAUCGCGGUUUGCAUUUUGUGCUUGAGUACGCUCCGCACGGCAGUCUCGCUUCUCUACUCUUUGGUACAACUCUCCAUUUCAAUGAAAAUGCUUUUUAAAGCAUUGUUGUUUUUUUUUUUUGUGUUUAUGUUUUUUAAAACCUUUGUAGGGUCUGAGGAGGAGUGUUUGGAUUGGAAGAAACGGUAUAAAGUGGCUUUGGGUGUAGCUGAUGGUUUGAGUUAUCUUCAUAAUGAUUGUCCUAGACGGAUUAUUCACCGUGACAUCAAAGCUUCCAACAUUUUGCUAAGUCAAGAUUAUGAAGCUCAGGUAUUUUUAUUGAUGAUUAAUUCAACAAUCAAAAACUAAUCAGUUUUAGCUGAAUCUGAUAUGAAUUUUUUUUGGGUAGAUAUCUGAUUUUGGACUUGCUAAGUGGCUCCCAGAGAAUUGUCCUCAACAUAUUGUUUUCCCUAUCGAAGGCACAUUCGGGUCAGACAGAGACUUCCACGGCUACACAAUCUCUUCUUGAUGUUUAAAUCUUAACUAGGUUGGUUCUUUGUUUCUCUUACAGGUAUCUAGCUCCAGAGUACUUUAUGCAUGGGAUAGUUGAUGAGAAGACGGAUGUGUUUGCUUUUGGGGUGUUGCUUCUAGAGAUCAUAACUGGUCGUCGAGCGGUUGAUACAGAUAGCAGGCAAAGCAUUGUGAUGUGGGUAAUGAUCUGAAACUGCUCUUCUUCUUCUCUUUGUACGCAUUUUACAACAAUUAAGACAGUUUGAAAUGCUUGUUUUUCAAGGUGAAACCACUUCUGGAGAAGAGCAGCUUGGAGGAAAUAGUUGAUCCUAAGCUAGGAAAUGACUUUGAUGAAACUGAGAUGAGAAGGGUGAUGCAAACAGCUUCAAUGUGCAUACACCAUGUAGCCACUAUGCGUCCUGAUAUGAACCGGGUAUGUUUCAUUUCCAAAGCCAAACCAGUCCCAUUAGUGUUUGAUCUAAUAAGCAACUUAUGAAUUGGGUUGGUUUUGGAUGCAGUUGGUGCAGCUAUUGCGUGGGGAUGACCGGUUAGCUGAGCCGCACGGCGGAGCAAGAACAGUGAGUCUCGACGGGUGUGACCUACAAGAUCAUACCUCUUCCUCGUACCUUGACGGUCUCAUUCGGCAUAGACAACUCUUAAUGGAGUGAAGCAACCAAUCCAACAACAACAAUAAAAGUAUUACCUUGUCUUUCUUGCAUGUGAUUUUACUCCAUAUUCUCCAUUGUAAAAAUCUCUAAAAGAAAGGAAAGAUUGUAUGUAUAAUUGGCCUCUAGUCUCAGCUUAUGCUUGUGUCUUCAACCUUUGUUCAUGUGAAAGCUGUAGUCACUUUUGAAAUCCGAAUGAUUAAUCGAAAUCUCACAGAGAAUCCAAGAGGACGAAGGCCAUGGCUGUUGAAGGUAAGGCUAUAUAGUCAAUGUUACGACAUUAUGUUUAUGCCUUGUCUUCUAAUGAAAAAAUCUACUCAAACAUGUUAUGUGCAGAGAUGGAGAAGAAGAAAAAGAAGAAGAACAAAGGAAGCAAUGAAAAGACGGAGACGGAGAACAGCGACUCAUUAUCUAUCGACGAUCCAUCGCCGAGAUGCGUUCUUGAAAUCCCAUUAACGAGUUCGGACUCCGACAACAGCAGCAGCUGCAGCUCGUGCUCGCCUGAUAAGUCAUCGUCGCCGUUAUCUACAACUCCUCCGAACGUCUCGUCUCUUCAGCACCACGGUCUUCAAUGGAACAAGAUGAUAGACUCUAUCAAGAAGAAGUCCAUCAGGAGAUUCUCUGUCAUUCCUCUCCUCGCCAGCUACGAGCUCACGAGGAAAAACAUGCGGCGGAAACAGCCUAAGUUGUCUCCUUCUCCGGUUGACUGCGAUCAAAUAUUGGUCGCUAAACCGUCGUGGCGAAAUUUCAGUUACGAAGAGCUUGUGGCCGCCACGGACAGUUUUAAUCCCGGUAAGGUUUGGUAAGGUUCUGUUCAUGGCAGGUCCUGAAAUUUUAAAGAUUUCAAGAAUCAUAAACAUUUACCUAGAACUAUAAUAAUCUUAUAAAAAUAAUAUGAUGCCCUAGUAUGGGUCUUGAUAUGUUGUACUUGUUGUUAGAGAAUAUGACUUGAGCCAUGACCGGUCCUAAAAUUUUAGAAGUUAUAGACAAUUUAAUAAAAAUUUCAGGUAGUUUGAGGGUUUAAAAUUCUUUUUUUACAAAUUUAAGGGCCAAUAUAAUUUUUUUCAAAACUUUUUAGAGCCCUCGGGCCUGAGGCGAAUGUUUCAUCAGUCCAAGCCUUGCUUGGAGGUUCUGUAUUUUAAACUAUUUCCUAAAAUUUUGUAGAAUAAUCCCAAUGUCUUACUCGGAUGUAUCCAGAUCCGGCUCUGGUUCUGUUCUUGUGUCUCCUAGCAUGGUUUUUGAUAUAUUGUACUUGUUUUUGUUAGAGAAUAUGAUUGGGAAAGGAGGACAUGCGGAGGUGUACAAAGGAGUUUUACCUGACGGAGAGACGGUGGCGAUCAAGAAGCUGAUGAGACACGCCAUGGAAGAAGAAGAAAGAGUCAGCGACUUCUUAUCCGAGUUAGGGAUGAUCGCACACGUUAACCACCCAAACGCAGCUAGGCUUCGCGGUUUCAGUAGCGAUCG
rnacentral:lncRNA from 1 species